GUCUGUGCUGGGUCUUCGUUGUUGCUCGGGCUUUUCUCUAGUUGUGGUGAGCAGGGGCUUCUCUUGUUGUGGAGCAUGGGCUCUAGAGCACUGGCUUAAUAGUUGUGACCAGGGGCUUAGUUGCCCUGCGGCACAUGGGACCUUUCUGGACCAGGGAUGGGACCUUCCUGGACCAGGGAUGGGACCUUCCUGGACCAGGGAUCGAACCCAUGUCUCCUGCAUUGGUAGGUGGAUUCUUUACCACUGAGCCACCAGGGAAGCCCUACUCCUAUUAUCUUUGCGCUACUUCGUUCUUUCGUUCAAAACACUCUCUGCAUCAUGAGGGAGUGUUUGUGGAUGGCUUUUGCACCUCCAGCCUCUUUGCAGUUACCCUAACUCAGUAUGUAGUUGUGGCCUCCCCUGCUGACCCCAAGGUAUGAUGGUCCCUCCUCCCUCCCUGGCACUGCCCUCAUGCUCUGUCGAGGCAGGGGCCACUCUGCCACACCUCUCUGCUCAAUGUUGCACCUAACCCACCAGGCUGGUCCACCCCUGCUGCCCACCCACUGCACAGGCUGGCAGGUGGGAGCUCUGCCCUAGUGGUACCAGCUGCCAUAUCAACCUAACCCAUCAAGAGCUGUCUGGGAUGGGGCCAGCGGCAGGCUGAGCCCAGGGCGCCUGCCGCCUCAGACAGUGAUCCCUGUGCCUGCAUGCCUCGCUCCAUCCAGGGCUGGAGGAUCACGAUGCUGGAGCAGCCAGGUACUGCUUUGGACCCUGCUGCUUUCUGGAGUCACACCUUUCUGCUCAUGGUGCAUUGGUAGCCAGGCAGGCACCAACUAUAGAAGCCCCGCGCAGCUUCUGUAGUGAUCCCACAGCGAGCCCUCCCCCAAGCAAGUGACUGUUGAUGAGCAAGGGUCAACCCGUGACCGUUAGUGGUUCAGCUCUGCUAUUGGUCAGUAUCACAGUGGGUCCCUCCCCCUCCCCCAUAUACUAAAGGAGCCUGAAUUUGGACUGAGGGAAGAUAGUUUUUGAGAAGCUACUCUGCCAUCUCCCUUGGCUAGCUUUCUGAUUAAAGUCGUUAUUCCUUAUUCCAACAACUCCUCUCCUGAUUUGUUAGCCUGUUGGGCGGUGAGCAGAAUGAGCUUGGGCUGGGUAACAAAUACAGCUGGUGGCUUUACUUGCUACUGAGUUGUAAGUAAAGGCUUGGAUAUGCACCUGAGGGGAGCUAACCCAUGCCCGAGGUCAGGGGAGGCAGCUGAGAGGAGCAACCCCAUGUCCAAGGAGCUGCGGCUACACAGGCACAGGAGGGCUGAGAGGAGCUACUCCACAUUCAAGGUCAAGAGGGGCGGCCCUGAGGAGAUACCCCUCGUCCAAGGUAAGGAACAGCAGCUGCACUUUGCUGGAGCAGCCUGAAGAGAUACCCCAUGUCCAAGGUAAGAGAAACCCAAGUAAGAUGAUAGGUUUUGCAAAAGGCCACAGAGGGCAGACACACUGAAACCAUAAUCACAGAAAACUAGCCAAUCUGAUCACAUGGACCACAGCCUUGUCUAACUCAGUGAAACUAAGCCAUGCCAUGUGGGGCCACCCAAGAUGGGAGGGUCAUGGUGGAGAGGUCCGACUGAAUGUGGCCCACUGGAGAAGGGGAUGGCAAACCACUUUAGUAUUCUUGCCUUGAGAACCACAUGAACAGUAUGAAAAGGCAAAAAGGUAGGACCCUGAAAGAUGAACUCCUCAGGUCGGUAGAUGCCCAAUAUGCUACUGGAGAUGAGUGGAGAAAUACUCCAGAAAGAAUGAAGGGAUGGAACCAAAGCAAAAACAACACCCAGUUGUGGAUGGGACUGGUGAUAGAAGCAAGAUUUAAUACUGUAAAGAGCAAUAUUGCAUAGGAACCUGGAAUGUCAGGUCCAUAAAUCAAGACAAAUUGGAAGUGGUCAAACAGGAGAUGGCAAGAGUGAAUAUCAACUAAAAUGGACUGGAAUGGGUGAAUUUAACUCAGAUGACCUACUACUGUGGGCAGGAAUCCCUUAGAAGAAAUGGAGUAGCCGUCAUAGGCAAUAAAACAGUCUGAAAUGCAGUAUUUGGAUGCAAUCUCAAAAACGACAGAAUGAUCUCUGUUCGUUUCUAAGGCAAACCAUUCAAUAUCAUGGUAAUCCAAGGCCUCCUCAGACAACCAUUUUGCCUUUUUGCAUUUCUUUUUCUUGGGAAUGGUCUUGAUUACCUCCUCCUGUACAGUGUCACAAACCUCCAUCCAUAGUUCUUCAGGCACUCUGUCUGUCAGAUCUAAUCCCUAUUUAUCACUUCCACUGUAUAAUCAUAAGGGGUUUGAUUUAGGUCAUACCUGAAGAGUCUAGUGGUUUUCCCUACUUUCUUCAAUUUAAGUCUGAAUUUGGCAAUAAGGAGUUCAUGAUCUGAGCCACAGUCAGCUCCCCGUCUUGUUUUUGCUGACUCUAUAAAGCUUCUCCAUCUUUGGCUGCAAAGAAUAUAAUCAGUCUGACUUUGGUAUUGACCACCUGGUGAUGUCCAUCUGGAGUCAUCUUUUGUGUUGUUUGAACUGGAUGUUUGCUAUAAC
ensembl:lncRNA